GAACGCUAGCGGCAGGCUUAACACAUGCAAGUCGAGGGGUAUAGGUUUUCGGACCUAGAGACCGGCGCACGGGUGCGUAACGCGUAUGCAAUCUACCUUUCACAGAGGGAUAGCCCAGAGAAAUUUGGAUUAAUACCUCAUAGUAUAACAUGACCGCAUGGUCGAGUUAUUAAAGUCACAACGGUGAAAGAUGAGCAUGCGUCCCAUUAGCUAGUUGGUAAGGUAACGGCUUACCAAGGCAACGAUGGGUAGGGGUCCUGAGAGGGAGAUCCCCCACACUGGUACUGAGACACGGACCAGACUCCUACGGGAGGCAGCAGUGAGGAAUAUUGGACAAUGGGCGCAAGCCUGAUCCAGCCAUGCCGCGUGCAGGAUGACGGUCCUAUGGAUUGUAAACUGCUUUUGCACAGGAAGAAACAACUCUACGUGUAGAGUCUUGACGGUACUGUGAGAAUAAGGAUCGGCUAACUCCGUG
rnacentral:rRNA from 1 species